UUGUGAAGCCCAAAGCAAAGCCAUGAGAGCUUAUGCUCAAAGUGGACAAUAUCAUACUAUUGUGAAGAGUCAUGUUCGUCUAACAGCUGGUGCUUGAGAGGAUGCGUUAAUACGGCUGAUGGGUGCCACAUGUCGACGUGCCACUGUACCUCCGGCGCCUCCCGAUGGCCUCAGUCUUGUUGAUGUAGGCUGGAGGCUAGUUUUUGGUUAGAUCAACUGUUUCAGAGGGAUGGGCUAGAGAUUCAAGCCUCUAGCGUUUCAGGGAAGUUACUCAUACUUAAUCCAUUUGAGCUAUAUUCAAAUCUUGUUUCCAUCUAUUUGAUUGAGGAAGUAAACUAUCUGACUAAUUUACUUCAUAUCCAAUUCCCAACUGGAGAGCACAAAUGAAUUGUUUAGCGAAGCUGUUUUAAUGGUCCGCCGGUCAUGGCUGCCUUGUAAGAAGAACCGAAGCACCCACUUCCUAGGAUCUGUGCAGAGGCUUUAAGCAAGUCUGAUAAAUCAAACUUCUCCAAGUCCUCUCUUACAAAUGAUAACUUAGCACCCUCGGCCACCCGUCUCCCCGAUCCAUGACUGGAGGCACGGUCCGGUGACUUUGCCCCAACUCCUGGAUCUAACGCUCUAGCACCUGGAGAUUUGACGUUGGCUGGAACCUCUUCACAA